rnacentral:rRNA from 1 species
GAUUGCAGGCUGAAAUUCGCCUGCAUGAAGCCGGAAUUGCUAGUAAUGGCAGGUCAGCAUACUGCCGUGAAUACGUUCCCGGGCCUUGUACACACCGCCCGUCACACCAUGAGAGUUGGGGAUACCCAAAGCCCGUGAGCCAACUUUAAAAGAGGCAGCGGUCUAAGGUAGAAUCAAUGAUUGGGGUGAAGUCGUAACAAGGUAGC